ACAGUGGUAGCGGAGUACGCUGACGCCUCCGGCCGGCGUUGCCGCCGCCUGAGAGUCGCCACGGCCCCCGCCCAGGUCGAAGCGGUAGAUGAAGCCAUCCAGGGCCACCAUGGCCGCGGAACGCUCCCUACUGCUGCUGCACGGGCACUCCUGCCACUCGUCGCGCCGCGGGUCGUACUUGAGCAGGCGGUAGAAGAGAGAGCCCCCGGACACGUAGAUCUCGCCGUUGCAGGUGGUGGCUUCGUGCGCUACAGCGAAGGCACCCCGAGGCAGCGGGGCCACGGCGGCCCAGCGGUCGGAGCGCGGGUCGUAGCGCUCCACGCUGAGCAGGCACUCGCCGCCGACGGCGUACAGGUGGCCGUCCAGGGCCAGCAGCUGCAGCUGCGAGCGCGCCUGGCGCAGCGGCCGCACGGUGCUCCAGCGGUCGGUGGCCGGGUUGUAGCAGAAGACCUGGUCCGAGGGGCGCGCGCGGCCGUCGGGACCCGCAGGCCCCACGCCGCCGGCCACGAAGAGGUAGUUGUAGAGCACGCACAGCCCGCAGCCCCGCGCCGGCGCGCCCUCCGGCAGCCGCGUCAGCUCGCGCCACUCGCCGGCCGCCUCGUGCAGGCAGUAGACGGCGGCGUCGCCCCGGCCCUCCGCGUCCCCCGACGGGCUCUGCGGGCGGCUGCCCGCGCGCUCCCCGNNNNNNNNNNNNNNNNNNNNNNNNNNNNNNNNNNNNNNNNNNNNNNNNNNNNNNNNNNNNNNNNNNNNCACGGCAUCGGUGGCGCGCUGCAGCGCACGGCAGCUGCAGGCGGCGCGCGCCGGCCACCACCUCGGCCACGUUGUCGGGUCGCACGCCCGCCAUGCGCCCGCUGUACGCGUAGGCCAGCAGCAGCCGCAGCGCCGCCCAGCCCACGCCCUGCACCCGCAGCACGUCCCGGGACGCGCGCGCGCGGAAGUAGUCGCUGCGAGCCGCCAGCACCGCCUUGUGCGCCCGCAGCCGGCGGCCCGACACCUCGAUCACCAGGUCGGGCUCCCCGUGCGCGGGCCCGACGCCAGGGGGCACUGGAGCGGGAUCCCCGGGCUCCUCGGGGGAUAGGGGCUCCUCGGGAGACACGAGCUCUUCCAGGGACGUGGGCUCCUCGAUGGACACGGGCUCCUCGGGGGACACGAGCUCUUCCAGGGACGUGGGCUCCUCGGUGGACACAGGCUCCCCGGGCGACACGGGCUCUUCCGGGGACGCGCGCUGCGCUGGGUCGCCGGGCUCCUCGGCGGACGCGGGCUCUUUCGGGGACACAGAAUCCUCGGGGGACGCGCGCUGCUCGGGAUCCCCGGGCUCCUCGGGGGACGCGGUGCCCACGCUGCCGACCUCCCACUGCCGCUCCACCACCAGCGGGCCGCUGCGACGCGAGGGCGGGGAGGACGCUGCGCCCUCCGCGGCGGAGGCGCGAGACUGCGGCGGGGAGUCGUCCCCGGAGCUGA
rnacentral:lncRNA from 1 species